UACAGAGGGUGCAAGCGUUGUUCGGAAUUACUGGGCGUAAAGCGUGCGUAGACGGUUAUUUAAGUCGGGUGUGAAAGCCCCGGGCUCAACCUGGGAAUUGCAUUCGAGACUGAAUAGCUAGGGUACGGUAGAGGGAAGCGGAAUUUCCGGUGUAGCGGUGAAAUGCGUAGAUAUCGGAAGGAAGACCAGUGGCGAAGGCGGGUCUCUGGACAGUUCCUGACGCUGAGACACGAAGGUCAGGGGAGCAAACGGG
rnacentral:rRNA from 1 species